UGACGACCAUAGCGAGGUGGCUCCACCCCUUCCCAUCCCGAACAGGACCGUGAAACGCCUCUGCGCCGAUGAUAGUGCGGCCUUGCCCGUGCGAAAGUAGGUCAUCGUCA
rnacentral:rRNA from 1 species